AGGAGCUUGCUCUUUCCGGAUGAGUUGCGAACGGGUGAGUAACGCGUAGGUAACCUGCCUGGUAGCGGGGGAUAACUAUUGGAAACGAUAGCUAAUACCGCAUAACAGUAGAUAUUGCAUGAUAUCUGCUUGAAAGGUGCAAUUGCAUCACUACCAGAUGGACCUGCGUUGAAUUAGCUAGUUGGUGAGGUAACGGCUCACCAAGGCGACGAUACAUAGCCGACCUGAGAGGGUGAUCGGCCACACUGGGACUGAGACACGGCCCAGACUCCUACGGGAGGCAGCAGUAGGGAAUCUUCGGCAAUGGACGGAAGUCUGACCGAGCAACGCCGCGUGAGUGAAGAAGGUUUUCGGAUCGUAAAGCUCUGUUGUAAGAGAAGAACGAGUGUGAGAGUGGAAAGUUCACACUGUGACGGUAUCUUACCAGAAAGGGACGGCUAACUACGUGCCAGCAGCCGCGGUAAUACGUAGGUCCCGAGCGUUAUCCGGAUUUAUUGGGCGUAAAGCGAGCGCAGGCGGUUAGAUAAGUCUGAAGUUAAAGGCUGUGGCUUAACCAUAGUACGCUUUGGAAACUGUUUAACUUGAGUGCAAGAGGGGAGAGUGGAAUUCCAUGUGUAGCGGUGAAAUGCGUAGAUAUAUGG
rnacentral:rRNA from 1 species